GGAAGAGUCUCGCCGUCUGGAAGUGGGCGGUAGAAGGCGGUGGCGGCAAACGAGUCGUCAUGGCAACCGUCCGGCUGCUCGCCUGCGGCUGAUCCUCUAGUUGCUCCUGUCGCCGCAAGGCGACUCGGAGACGUUCCAACUGUGCCUAACAGACAAGGACAUCAGUUCCGGGAAGUUCUGCGUUCACCUAGCAUGUACCAGCGUAUCACCUGGUCAGUCACGCUCUCCCACUGGUCCGGAAUGCUCAGGUCGGCUUGAACACGGAAAACUUUGCUGAUGUUGUCAGGAAGUGGCUCAGGUUUGACACAUGAUGUCCCACGAGCGUCUCCCCAGGCUUUACCGUGACGCUCCGGCUCGUCUAGAAGAGUCUGUGAAAAAUAAUCAGCAAUUCUUUUCCUCUCUUGUGUCACUGCUCACCUUUGUGCUUGUUCUUCCCUCUCUGGGCUGAAGGUGGUGCUGUAGAGUCCAAGCAUGACGUGACCACGGUCCUCGGAUCAGUGCGGUGAGCGACGGACAUGACACAGAUUCUGCAGGACCAAGGAAAAGGCAGUGGAAUCAAACCUGUAACUUUUUGGACAUCAGGCACGCUGGUCCUGCGUCUGGGUCAAAGGUCAAACGUGCACAGAAUUGGAAAUCGAAUGAACGGAAGGUACACAGACCAAAGAGGACAAGCAUUUUGGCUUUCGCAGUUUGAGG